rnacentral:rRNA from 1 species
UACGUAGGGGGCAAGCGUUGUCCGGAAUUAUUGGGCGUAAAGCGCGCGCAGGCGGUUCAGUAAGUUGGAUGUUUAAUGCCGGGGCUCAACCUCGGUACGCAUCCAAAACUGGUGAACUUGAGUGUAGGAGAGGAAAGUGGAAUUCCACGUGUAGCGGUGAAAUGCGUAGAGAUGUGGAGGAACACCAGUGGCGAAGGCGACUUACUGGACACAUAUUGACGCUGAGGUGCGAAAGCGUGGGGAGCAAACAGG